GCUGUUGCUGUAAAGUAUCCCAACUACAUGAGGCAAUAGGGGAGGGGCCUGAGAGCUGGUGCUGAGGAACCUGGCAUUAGUGGCUGGAAAGAGGUGGUCUAUGUGACACAGAGAAGGAGCAUAUGGUAACACUGCUGUCUGCAAUAUUUCGGAGGUAGAUGAAGGACCUAAUGGACUUGUAGCUCUACCAGAGAGAAUGGACAACAGGAUAUGUGCAGCUUUAAGAAGACCAGCGUCGCAUUCUGUUGCCCAGGCUGGAGUGCAGUGGCAUGAUCUUGGUUCAUUGCAACCUCCACCUCCUGGGUUCAAGAGAUUCUCCUGCCUCAGCCUUCCAAGUAGCUGGGAUUAC